ensembl:lncRNA extensin-like
AACUCAGGCAACAGCCAUUCCCAACACCGUCACCAGCUCCUACAGUCACAUCCAUGAAGAGUAACAAGUCGAUGGAUCGACCAGUAAAAUUCACAGAUUGGCAAUAUCACAGGUAAUUCCAUUCAGAUUAUGAUACUUUCUAGUUUUAUUUAAGUGUAAAAUGUGUUUUUAUUAAUGGUAUAUUUCACAAUUUGUUGUAAUUAAUAGAAAACCAAUGUAUUUAGGUCCUACAUCUUUUUUUUUACAUUUUGAUCAUUAAAAUGUAUUGUAAUUAGAGAAUGUGAAAUAAUGUUGAAUUACUGUUUGUUUUUAGUAGAUGUAUUAAAUCUGCUUAAGUAUAGUAAAAAAAUGCAGAUUUCUGUAGUUCAUCUGUGUUAUUUUUAUAAUUCAGGCAACAGCCAUUCCCAACACCGUCACCAGCUCCUACAGUCACAUCCAUGAAGAGUAACAAGUCGAUGGAUCGACCAGUAAAAUUCACAGAUUGGCAAUAUCACAGGCAACGGCCGUUCCCAACACCGUCACCAGCUCCUACAGUCACAUCCAUGAAGAGUAACAAGUCGAUGGAUCGACCAGUAAAAUUCACAGAUUGGCCAGAUUGGGAAUAUCACAGGCAACAGCCAUUCCCAACACCGUCACCAGCUCCUACAGUCACAUCCAUGAAGAGUAACAAGUCGAUGGAUCGACCAGUAAAAUUCACAGAUUGGCAAUAUCACAGGCAACAGCCAUUCCCAACACCGUCACCAGCUCCUACAGUCACAUCCAUGAAGAGUAACAAGUCGAUGGAUCGACCAGUAAAAUUCACAGAUUGGCAAUAUCACAGGCAACAGCCAUUCCCAACACCGUCACCAGCUCCUACAGUCACAUCCAUGAAGAGUAACAAGUCGAUGGAUCGACCAGUAAAAUUCACAGAUUGGCAAUAUCACAGGCAACGGCCAUUCCCAACACCGUCACCAGCUCCUACAGUCACAUCCAUGAAGAGUAACAAGUCGAUGGAUCGACCAGUAAAAUUCACAGAUUGGCCAGAUUGGGAAUAUCACAGGCAACAGCCAUUCCCAACACCGUCACCAGCUCCUACAGUCACAUCCAUGAAGAGUAACAAGUCGAUGGAUCGACCAGUAAAAUUCACAGAUUGGCAAUAUCACAGGCAACAGCCAUUCCCAACACCGUCACCAGCUCCUACAGUCACAUCCAUGAAGAGUAACAAGUCGAUGGAUCGACCAGUAAAAUUCACAGAUUGGCCAGAUUGGGAAUAUCACAGGCAACAGCCAUUCCCAACACCGUCACCAGCUCCUACAGUCACAUCUAUGAAGAGUAACAAGUCGAUGGAUCGACCAGUAAAAUUCACAGAUUGGCAAUAUCACAGGCAACGGCCGUUCCCAACACCGUCACCAGCUCCUACAGUCACAUCCAUGAAGAGUAACAAGUCGAUGGAUCGACCAGUAAAAUUCACAGAUUGGCCAGAUUGGGAAUAUCACAGGCAACAGCCAUUCCCAACACCGUCACCAGCUCCUACAGUCACAUCCAUGAAGAGUAACAAGUCGAUGGAUCGACCAGUAAAAUUCACAGAUUGGCAAUAUCACAGGCAACAGCCAUUCCCAACACCGUCACCAGCUCCUACAGUCACAUCCAUGAAGAGUAACAAGUCGAUGGAUCGACCAGUAAAAUUCACAGAUUGGCAAUAUCACAGGCAACAGCCAUUCCCAACACCGUCACCAGCUCCUACAGUCACAUCCAUGAAGAGUAACAAGUCGAUGGAUCGACCAGUAAAAUUCACAGAUUGGCAAUAUCACAGGUAAUUCCAUUCAGAUUAUGAUACUUUCUAGUUUUAUUUAAGUGUAAAAUGUGUUUUUAUUAAUGGUAUAUUUCACAAUUUGUUGUAAUUAAUAGAAAAC